AACGAACGCUGGCGGCAUGCCUAACACAUGCAAGGCGAACGAGUGCCUUCGGGUGCUAGUGGCGCACGGGUGCGUAACGCGUGGGAAUCUGCCCUUUGGUUCGGAAUAACAGUUGGAAACGACUGCUAAUACCGGAUGAUGACGAAAGUCCAAAGAUUUAUCGCCAGAGGAUGAGCCCGCGUAGGAUUAGCUAGUUGGUGUGGUAAAGGCGCACCAAGGCGACGAUCCUUAGCUGGUCUGAGAGGAUGAUCAGCCACACUGGGACUGAGACACGGCCCAGACUCCUACGGGAGGCAGCAGUGGGGAAUAUUGGACAAUGGGCGAAAGCCUGACCCAGCAAUGCCGCGUGAGUGAUGAAGGCCUUAGGGUUGUAAAGCUCUUUUACCCGGGAUGAUAAUGACAGUACCGGGAGAAUAAGCUCCGGCUAACUCCGUGCCAGCAGCCGCCGUAACAC
rnacentral:rRNA from 1 species